rnacentral:misc_RNA from 1 species
GAUGAAGAACGUAGCGAAAUGCGAUAAGUAAUGUGAAUUGCAGAAUUUAGUGAAUCAUCGAAUCUUUGAACGCAUAUUGCGCCCGCCAGCACUCUGGCGGGCAUGCCUGUUCGAGCGUCAUUUCAACCCUCAGGCCUCCCGUCUGGCGUUGGGGCGCUGCGGCCCUCCCGCAGGCCCCCAAAUUUAGCGGCGGAUUCCCCGCGGCCCUGAGCGCAGUAGAGAGUAAAAACUUUAACGCUCCGGCGGCCGUGGCGCGGUUCUGCCUCUUUCCCAAUAGCGCCAAUAGCGCCACCCCCAAAAAAGUUGACCUCGGAUCAGGUAGGACUACCCGCUGAACUUAAGCAUAUCAAUAAGCGGAGGA